rnacentral:rRNA from 1 species
AGAUUGAACGCUGGCGGCAUGCCUAACACAUGCAAGUCGAACGGGAGUAGCAAUACUCUAGUGGCGGACGGGUGAGGAAUACGUAGGAAUUUGCCCGUUAAGUGGGGGAUAACCCGGGGAAACCCGGAUUAAUACCGCAUGACCUCGAAAGAGCAAAGUGGGGAUCGCAAGACCUCACGCUUUUGGAGAAGCCUACGUCGGAUUAGCUAGUUGGUGAGGUAAUGGCUCACCAAGGCGACGAUCCGUAACUGGUCUGAGAGGAUGAUCAGUCACACCGGAACUGAGA